rnacentral:tRNA from 1 species
GGAGAGGUCGCAUAGUGGCCUAGUGCGCCGCCUUGGAAAGGCGGUAUACCGCAAGGUAUCGGAGGUUCGAAUCCUCUCCUCUCCUCCA